UUCCGGUACGGAGGGGUUGAGGGAUUCCCGCCUGCAGUCGCUCCCUCAGUGUGGGCCGCUCCUCAGCGCCCGCCCCGUACGGGUGCUGUCCCACGUAUUACCCGCUUUGCGCAUGGACAGAUUCGUGGUUAAACGUUCUGCUGAGGAACCUGGGGGUGAUGGCAAGAGGCCCCGGUUAGAGGAGGCGGUGGGCGGCCUGCCCCAUCCCUCACAGCCCGGUCGGCAGAUCCGCGCCCAAGGCCUGAGCCUCGAGUACCGCCUCCUCUUCGGCCGGGCCGAGGCUGACGAGGUCUUCCAGCAGCUGGAAAAGGAGGUGGAGUACUUCGAAGGUGAACAGACAAAGUUGCGUGUGUUUGGCAAAUGGCAUAACAUCCCCAGGAAGCAGGUAACCUACGGAGACCCCGAGUUAACGUACACUUACUCAGGUGUCACCUUUUCUCCUAAGCCAUGGAUCCCAGUUCUCAACCACAUCAGAGAUCGCCUUGUUUUGGAAACGGGACACACUUUUAAUUUUGUUGUUAUUAACAGAUAUAAAGACGGUGAGGACCACAUAGGUGAACAUCGAGAUGAUGAGAAGGAGCUGAUUCCACGCAGCCCUAUUGCAUCAGUGUCCUUUGGAGCCUGCAGAGACUUCGUCUUCAGGCACUGUGAUUCCAGAGGGAAGAAUGCAACACGGCACAUUAAGCCCAUCAUACUGCAGCUAGCCCAUGGCAGCCUGCUGAUGAUAAAGUACCCCACUAAUGUGUACUGGUACCACAGCGUGCCCAUCCGCAAGAGAGUGCUUGCUCCAAGAAUCAACCUGACAUUUCGGAAAAUGAUGGUUGUUGACAAAAAAGCGAGAUAGCAAUGAAGCACCUGGACCAUAGACCCUGAAUACUGAAGUUUUCCUCCUCGAUAUAGCUGUCAGUUCCUCAAUCAAGCGGUGUUUGAUGAUCCAAGGCAUUAAAGUAGAAGAUAGCGUGCUUGGGAAUCCAUUCUGAAAGCCGUUCCCAUCCGUGCUCAAUCCUACUGAAAUGAGGAAAGAGUGUCCAAAGUGUCCACCAGGUCUUAAGGAAUCAAGCAAUGGUAAGUGCUGAGCAAAAAUGCGAGUUGAUCCCUGUGUAACCGUGCUUAGGAGCAUGUGAAUGAGUAGCCUGCAGUCUCUUGGGGCUGUGGAAUUAACAGCAGUUCAGAAAAGCUGGAAUUGGAAAUUCUUAUCCUCUGUAUUUCCUGUGAAGAGCAGGGCUCUGCUGGGAACCUGGAUCCCAGGAAUGCACCUAGAGAAGGAGAAGUGCUGCUUCUAUCAGAUAUACUGUGUAUAUAUCUGAUAGAUUGGCCUUGAAGAAAUCAGCAAAUAUGGACAGUUACUUUUUUUAUUAAGUUCUUUUAUUGCUACUGUACAGUUACAAAAAAUACCCUGAAGUGAAAAUGCAACUUCAAACAGCAGUGCGGUGCUGUGACUCUCACACUUUUUUAAAAUAAUACACAAAAUAAAACAAUUAUCCAAACACA